CAAGAAAGAAAUGAGACAGAGAAGCACGAUGGAUGAAUUCAUAUGGAUUAAAAUGUUUUUAUGUCUGAUGCUGAUGAUUCAGAUUGCAGUAUCUGCAACUGAAACCUCAAUUUUUAUUAAAGCUGGAGAUGACGUCACUCUGCCUUGUCUAAAUGUAAUAGAUGACCAGAAGAACUGUGAUGGUACUACGUGGACCUUUGCUUCAAAAAACACAACAGCAAUAGAAGUGAUCACCUUUGGAGAGAUUGGUAAAAAAGCCCAAACUAAAUCAGACAGACUGAGUGUUACAGCGAACUGUUCUCUGGUUAUAAAGAAGCUCACGGAUGAGGAUGUUGGUUUUUAUUACUGUCAGCAGUACAAACUGGGAGAACGUAAACAUCUAGUUUCUGAGUUUUUGGUUGAUCUGGCUGUCAUCACAUUGACUGAAGAUAAGGACACUGAUGAAGUGACGUUAAACUGCUCUCUGCUGACCUUUGAGGACUGUCGCCACACAGUGAAAUGGCUGUUAAUUGGUUACAAUGUAGACAAGCAAACAGAAAGAUCACAGACUGACUGCUUCACCACUGUGUCUUUUCCAAAUUCUCACAAUUCAAACGUAUCAAGGGAUAAUAUAAUGAAGUGUCAAGGAACUCAUACUAACACAAGCAAAGUACUCUUUACCAUCAUCCAUCAGCCCUCUGUUGGGACAAACAAAACAAUGAAUCCAGCCAGAAAAACUGAAAGCAGCACAACCUCAGUAACAACCACAGCCGUGAAGGAUAUUUCACAAGAUUUUUCCGUCUCUUUGAGGUUCAUUAUUGUUUCGGUGGGUUUAGCAGCACUUUUAAUAACUGCUGUGACAGUCAACAUUAGGACAAGAACCAAAGGGAAUAAAACACGACGGAUAAAGCAAGGGGAACAAAACAGAGGACGAGGAUAAAAUCAAACCCCUAGUUGCCAGGUGGGGCAACAGGUUUACCAAUGCUGCUGAAGAUCAUCUCAACACAGACUCACAACAUCAUCUCCUUCUGCCUUUCCUCUUUCUCUCGCUCCGCUGUUUGUGUGUGGGACAGUAUGAGAGAUUCCUCUUCUGCUCCCCUGCUCCAUUUGGCUGGCACAUAUGUCUCAAAUCCCUAAUCAGAGCCUUUAAACAUUUGAUCAUAAAUUCAGUCCUCUCCAGAUUGUUCUGUUAGGUUUGUCUUUAGCAUCACUCAGUCUCAUCAAAAAAAAAAAAAAAACAAUUGUACUUUUCUUUGUGUUUCACUUGAUUUCUCCAGUCACUAAUUUUAAAUGUCCCGGGCCGUCUCCUCCAGACCAAAUACUUAGUCUUGGUAUCCCUGCCUGCUCUCUUUCUCCAUCACUCACCAAACCCAGAUGCAAGACCCAAUCCCCUCUCGCUUGCACAUUCUCCCUCAUUCCAGUGUUAAAGCCUGCUUCAGAGUCCACCUCUUUUACCAUAAUAAUUUUCAAUAUACAAUAUUUAAAAAAUGAAAUGUAGAUGUUAUUUUUUAAGCCAUUUUCUGAAAUGAAUGUGAAACCUUCCUGUAUUUAAAUUGGAAUAACACAACAGCAACCAUAGUUCAUAGUUGUAACAUCUACCUGUCAAAGUUUGAAUCCCUGACAGCUGUGAAAUCAUCACUCUGUGUUGUGUGGUUUGUAACAAUGUAUUUUGUUAUGGCUAAUGAUAAUAUAACUUGAUUUAUAA
ensembl:lncRNA